rnacentral:rRNA from 1 species
AUUGAACGCUGGCGGAAUGCUUUACACAUGCAAGUCGAACGGCAGCACGGACUUCGGUCUGGUGGCGAGUGGCGAACGGGUGAGUAACAUAUCGGAACGUAUCCAAUAAUGGGGGAUAACUAAUCGAAAGGUUGGCUAAUACCGCAUACGCCCUACGGGGAAAGCAGGGGAUCUUCGGACCUUGCGUUAAUGGAGCGGCUGAUAUCUGAUUAGCUAGUUGGUGAGGUAAAGGCUCACCAAGGCGACGAUCAGUAGCUGGUCUGGGAGGACGACCAGCCACACUGGAACUGAGACACGGUCCAGACUCCUACGGGAGGCAGCAGUGGGGAAUUUUGGACAAUGGGCGCAAGCCUGAUCCAGCCAUUCCGCGUGAGUGAAGAAGGCCUUCGGGUUGUAAAGCUCUUUCGCAAGGGAAGAAAACUUACUUUCUAAUAAAGAGUGAGGUUGACGGUACCUUGAUAAGAAGCACCGGCUAACUACGUGCCAGCCGCCGCAGUAA